AGUGGCGAACGGGUGAGUAAUACAUCGGAAUGUACCCAGUCAUGGGGGAUAACGCUUCGAAAGGAGUGCUAAUACCGCAUACGCCCUGAGGGGGAAAGUGGGGGACGCGCAAGCGCCUCACGUGAUUGGAGCAGCCGAUGGCUGAUUAGCUAGUUGGUAGGGUAAAGGCCUACCAAGGCAACGAUCAGUAGCGGGUCUUAGAGGACGAUCCGCCACACUGGAACUGAGACACGGUCCAGACUCCUACGGGAGGCAGCAGUGGGGAAUCUUGGACAAUGGGCGAAAGCCUGAUCCAGCAAUGCCGCGUGCGUGAAGAAGGCCUUCGGGUUGUAAAGCGCUUUUGUCGGGGAGGAAAUCCUAACGGUUAAUACCUGUUGGGGAUGACAGUACCCGAAGAAUAAGCACCGGCUAACUACGUGCCAGCAGCCGCGGUAAUACGUAGGGUGCAAGCGUUAAUCGGAAUUACUGGGCGUAAAGCGUCCGCAGGUGGCUUGAUAAGAUAGACGUGAAAUCCCUGGGCUCAACCUAGGAAUUGCGUAUAUGACUGUCUCGCUAGAGUAUGGGAGAGGGGGGUGGAAUUCCGCGUGUAGCAGUGAAAUGCGUAGAGAUGCGGAGGAACACCGAUGGCGAAGGCAACCCCCUGGCCUAAUACUGACACUCAUGGACGAAAGCGUGGGGAGCAAACAGGAUUAGAUACCCUGGUAGUCCACGCCCUAAACGAUGUCUACUAGUUGUUGGGCUUUUCGGAGCUUAGUAACGCAGCUAACGCGUGAAGUAGACCGCCUGGGGAGUACGGUCGCAGACUAAACUCAAAGGAUGACGGGGCCGCACAGCGUGAUGAUGUGG
rnacentral:rRNA from 1 species